rnacentral:lncRNA from 1 species
UUGGCCAUGCAUAGGUUCAUGUUAGCAUUCAUACAUCGUAGAGUAGAAUGUUACUUAUUCCAUUCCUUGUGUCACGCCCCGCGACCGCUACCAAUUUGGCUCGGCUUGGGCGCGUCGAACAGACGCCGGACGGACAGCACCUCCCCUGUCCGCCCAAGGCUAACAACGAGAUUGUGUACAACAAGUCCCCAGAAAAAAUAACUUGAAUGCAUACACAAUCGAUAACUACAACGAGAGCACAAUCAGUGCAAAACAACCGAGAGCAAGAUACAAGUAUAGAACAUACGAGUAAUGAUAAAGAGAGAGCAUCUAUCUAUUACAUUCAUUCAGCCUUCAUAAUACAAUUUGAUUAUACAUUGAACUUCCAAAACAUAGAAUACAGCUUACAUCUUCCAAAAUAUAAACAUUAGCUUACAUUCAUCCCAAAAUAGCUCACAACCUAUACAUCAUCUACUCUCAAUG